rnacentral:rRNA from 1 species
AUAAAUCGAACUUCAAUCUUAAAAAUGGAAGAAGAACAGAAUGAAAGUAAAGAUGAAGAUUGACUCCUAAAUCAUUUGAUUAAAAAGCUAACUUAAGAAUAUCCAAACUUAAAUGCAGAUUGACGAACUAUUACUCAUCCGAACUGUUGAACUGUUAAACUUUUGAACUUAAAAGAACAAGGUACCAGAUGUCUUUUAUUACUCUUGUUUAAAUAUACUUUUCUGCUCAGCGUCGCACAAAUUUGAUAAAAGUGCUUUUUAAAGUCACAUAAAAUGAUAUAUGAAUAAGUUUGGAUAAGUGAGAAGUAAGGGUUCCAUGUUGCUUUAUACUUUUUGUCUGAUCAGACAGCCACUAGGACAGUGCUGUCCAACAUCAGGAGUCAUAAGGAGCCUAUACUGAUAAGCCUUUGAGGGGGCAAGUAUAGAGAAAAGUUGAGAUAUGUAACACAAAAAUGAACCCCCCUUUUCCUCGAUUUUGUACUUGCCCAACAAAAUCAUAUUUUGCCUCAGAUAUCAAGCGCUAAAAUUCUGUAUUUAUUUUUGUGACUGCAAUUAUUUUUAUGCUAAGUUUCAAAUGCAAUUGAAACAAGUUUGCAGGGAUAAGUUUGUACAGCUUUUAUUUCCUGUCAAAUAUUGAUUAUUUUGCUUAUUAUUUAACAUUUGUAAAGAUGACAUCUAUCAGUACUUAGUUUCACAACUAACUAGUAUUUGAAUGACCGCACUUUUGAAACGUGCCCAGAUCUGGAGUUCAUCCUUGAAGAAAGAUGCUAAGAACCAAGCAAUUAUGAUACUGCUUCCUGCUGAUCUUCCGCUUUCCUUUUUGACUCUACAUUUUUUUAAAGUUUGUAUUUUUCUUUUAUUUUAAUCUAAGUAUCCAAGAUUCAUGAAUUAAUGAAUAAAAUGAGUUAUGUUUGAUGUCUAUAUAUUUGUCUCUUAAAUCACUCAAUAUGAUCUUGCGACUAGAGAACUUGUUGUUGCUUGUUGUUGUUGCUAUUGCUAUUCCAGCAAGCAAACCGGUGCUGGAUCUGCUCCCGCUGACCCGGCACCGGGUCCUCACAAGGUCGUCGCGUGCUGGCUGGGGGACGGAUUGGGAACGGCCCCACGGGGCCUUUCUUGGGCGUCGAACAACCGACUCAGAACUGGUACGAUCAAGGGGAAUCCGACUGUUUAAUUAAAACAAAGCAUUGCGAUAGUCCCAGCGGAUGCUCACGCAAUGUGAUUUAUGCCCAGUGCUCUGAAUGUCAAAGUGAAGAAAUUCAACCAAGCGCAGGUAAACGGCGGGAGUAACUAUGACUCUCUUAAAGUAGCCAAAUGCCUCGUCAUCUAAUUAGUGGUGCAUGAAUGGAUUAACGAGAUUCUCACUGUCCUUAUCUACUACCCAGCAAAACCACAGCCACGGGAACGGGCUUGGCAGAAUCAGCGAGGAAAGAAGACCCUGUUGAGCUUGACUCUAGUUCGACUUUGUGAAAUGACUCGAGAGGUGUAGCAUAACUGGGAGCCGGCACGCCGGCGAAAGUGAAAUACCAUUACUUUUAACAUUAUUUUACUUAUUCCGUGAGACGGAGGCGGGGCGUUGCCCCUCCUUUUGGCUUUCAAGUCCCGCUCCGACGGGUCGAUCCGGGCGGAAGACAUUGUCAGGUGGGGAGUUUAGCUGGGGUGGCACAUCUGUUAAAAGAUAACGCAGGUGUCCUAAGAUGAGCUCAACGAGAACAGAAAUCUCGUGUCGAACAAAAGGGUAAAGACUUGUUCGAUUCUGAUUUCCAAUGCGAAUACGAACCGUGAAAAUGUGGCCUAUCGAUCCUUUAAUUAUUCGGAGUUUGAAGCUAGAGGUGUCAGAAAAAUUACCACAGGGAUAACUGGCUUGUCGCAGCCAAGCGUUCAUAGCGUCGUUGCUUUUUGAUCCUUUGAUGUCAGCUCUUCCUAUCAUUGUGAAGCAGAAUUCACCAAAUGUUAGAUUGUUCACCCACCAAUAUGGAACGUGAGUUGGGUUUAGAUCGUCAUGAGACAGGUUAGUUUUACCCUACUGAUGAUCGUGCCGUGAUAGUAAUUCAACCCAUUACGAGAGGAACCGUUGAUUCAAACAAUUGGUCAUCGCGCUUGGUUGAAAAUCCAGUGGCGCGAAGCUACCAUGUGCAGGAUUAUGACUGAACGCCCCUAAGUCAGAAUACGCGCUUAUGAUGUGGAGCCUGAGCCCGUCGAUUGCCCUCCGACCGACAGUAGGGGCAUCGCCCCCAAGGGCACGCGAGCCAAGCUACGCCCGCGCCGUUUUCCUCAUAAGGAUCGUUGUGGCGUCCCUGAAUUGCAGUUCCGAACGAUGGACGGGCAGAAUCCUUUGCAGACGACUUAAAUUCGCGACGGGGCAUUAUACGUGGCAGAGUGGUCUUUGCUGCCACGAUC